rnacentral:tRNA from 1 species
GCCGGGGUGGCCGAGUGGCGAGCCCCAUCUAGAGGGUGCCAAGCGGCAGGCUGCAGACCUGCUCUACCGGGGUUCAAAUCCCUGCCCCGGCUCCA